rnacentral:lncRNA from 1 species
AGAUCAUCUCUUAAUUCAAAAUACUACAACUACAGGAUUGUUUGACAACCUUGAAUAUAAAUAAAGAUAAUGUAAUCAGCAUAAAAUUACCACCUUGAUUACAUAUAUACCAAACAUAUUCUGAUAAAUAAAAAAAUAUUAAAGGGACACAACUCCUGAAAACAACAUAUAUUUAAUUUAAAAGUAAUACUCUAAAAGUAAGGGAUAAUUUGCAUCAGCAGAUAAUUAUAAGUUAUCAUCAAUUGUUAGGAACAUAAAUCUCUAUUAAGGGACAAAUCUAUCAGUCAGUGAUAAUACUAAAAUGAGCCACUUUAAUUUACUAUUUCAGAUAAAUAAUUUAGAAGUAGAGUUAUCUCCCUUAGUCAUUUGAUUUUGAAAUAAGAACUAACUUAAGU